rnacentral:lncRNA from 1 species
UGUGAGAGUAAAUUCCAAGAUGAUGAUGAUGGAAGAUUCAGCACAAUGCAAGGCUAGAUAUGCUCUGUUGCUUCUUGACGGGAUUCUUGCUACCUUCCAUUACACCAAUCAUCAACUUUUUUUGAGUUUUAACAAAACAAGGCAAAAGAAAAGAAACUUAAGGGAUAUAUGGUGAUCAUGAGACAAUCUAAAUAUUGCGGCCUUGAUAUCUAUUAUCAUGGUUGUUACCUGUGACUGGACGGAACGAACUCCAU